UCCUUGGUGGGUCAGUGGUUAAGACUCUGCACUUCCAAUGAGGGAUGCAGAGGGCACAGGUUCAAUCCCUGGUCUAGGAG
rnacentral:tRNA from 1 species